rnacentral:rRNA from 1 species
AUUGAACGCUGGCGGCAGGCCUAACACAUGCAAGUCGAGCGGCAGCGGGACCUUCGGGUUGCCGGCGAGCGGCGGACGGGUGAGUAAUGCCUAGGAAUCUGCCUGUUAGUGGGGGAUAACGCGGGGAAACUCGCGCUAAUACCGCAUACGUCCUACGGGAGGAAGCGGGGGCUCUUCGGACCUCGCGCUAACAGAUGAGCCUAGGUCGGAUUGGCUAGUUGGUGGGGUAAUGGCCCACCAAGGCGACGAUCCGUAACUGGUCUGAGAGGGUGAUCAGUCACACUGGAACUGAGACACGGUCCAGACUCCUCCUGGAGGCAGCAGUGGGGAAUAUUGGACAAUGGGCGAAAGCCUGAUCCAGCCAUGCCGCGUGUGUGAAGAAGGUCUUCGGAUUGUAAAGCACUUUAAGUCGGGAGGAAGGGCUGUAGGCUAAUACCUUGCAGUUUUGACGUUACCGACAGAAUAAGCACCGGCUAACUUCGUGCCAGCCGCCGCCGUAA